CUUUACUGCAGCUUUGCAGUGGUGCCAGGAACCGGAUGUGUAGGAUAGGUGGGAGGCUUUGAAGCUCGGGCGCUAGCUCGGGUGGAGCCACCGUUGAAAUACCACCCUUUUGGUUUUUGGCCUCUAACCGCGCGCCGUCUAUCCGGCGCCGGGACCCUGCAUGGCGGGCAGUUUGACUGGGGCGGUCGCCUCCCAAAUUGUAACGGAGGCGCGCGAUGGUGGGCUCAGGCUGGUCGGAAAUCAGCUGUCGAGUGCAAUGGCAUAAGCCCGCCUGACUGCAAGACUGACAAGUCGAGCAGAGAGGAAACUCGGUCAUAGUGAUCCGGUGGUCCCGCGUGGAAGGGCCAUCGCUCAACGGAUAAAAGGUA
rnacentral:rRNA from 1 species